rnacentral:rRNA from 1 species
CCUACGUGCGGCAGCAGUGGGGAAUAUUGGUCAAUGGGCGCAAGCCUGAUCCAGCGACGCCGCGUGAGUGAAGAAGUAUCUCGGUAUUUAAAGCUCUAUCAGCAGGGAAGAAAGGAAUGACGGUACCUGACUAAGAAGCCCCGGCUAACUACGUGCCAGCAGCCGCGGUAAUACGUAGGCGGCAAGCGUUAUCCGGAUUUACUGGGUGUAAAGGGAGCGUAGACGGUUACGCAAGUCUGGAGUGAAAGGCGGGGGCCCAACCCCCGAACUGCAUUGGAAACUGUAUUACUUGAGUGCAGGAGAGGUAAGUGGAAUUCCUGGUGUAGCGGUGAAAUGCGUAGAUAUUAGGAAGAACACCAGUGGCGAAGGCGGCUUACUAAACUGUCACUGACGUUGAGGCUCGAAAGCGUGGGGAGCAAACAGGAUUAGAUACCCUGGUAGUC